GACGCCUUCUUUUCCCUCCAUCAAAGACACGGGUGGGCUCCUUUCCCUCCACCAAAAAUUUCCCCUUCCCUGUCUCUUGACCCUUCACGCCUGCUGCUCUCACUCAUCCAACAAAAUUUCUGCUCCACCUUUCCUCUUGCUGCUUCCCACCCUAGCGAGCUUGCUUCACCAUGGCACCCCCACUGGACCUCCCCGCUGACGGCUGCUGCUGAUCUCUGCUCCUUCUCCCUCACCUCCCUGGCUGCUGCCACUUCGGAAUCUCAAGAGCUGCACCUGCCCUCUACUACAUUAAAUCCUAUUGAUGAUGGUGGUUGUGUUGGCUUCCCCACUUGAUUAACCAAAUUUUGCUCAAGGGAUUAGCCCUAUUUUCUAAUGCUGCCUCUGUCUGGGGGGCCAAUUGCUUGCAGAUUACAACAAUCUUGCUGCUAUCUAAAGGAUAGACGUAUUCCAGAACACAUCUAGGCUACUAGCUGUUGCACGCCUCAGAACGGUGGUAGGCAGGAUGAUGCGCUUAAGCACAGGAUCUGAGGGGUCUUCUUCCUCCAGCCAAGGAAGAACUGGAUCCAGGGCUGGAUCAAGUACAUCUAUGAUGCAGAUAGUUGCACAACCUGUUGCUGAUAACAAUCAAUCAGAGGAGGCAGAGAUGGAGGAUGAGGAAGUUGAGGAGGAAUUGUUCUCACGGGGUCCCUCACGACUCCCACAGGCCCCUGCAAGGGAAGAGGAAACGCCUGUCAUCACUCUGCAAGGA